UACCUGCACAGCGCAGAUAAAGCGCACACCAGGGGGAGGAAGAGGGGAGAUAAAGGCAGCAUCGGGCGUAAAGGGAGAAGCGCUGGCAGAUAAACAGGAAGUGAGGUGUGCUGUGGGACCGGUGGUUAGCGCUCAGGGGAACGGACGCGGCGCUGGACACACGUACCAGGCUCUCCAGCCGCUUGGCCACGAUGGAGGCGAAGCGGCGCUCCCCCGCCAGCUCUGAGAUGAGGAAGAUGUACUCCGGCGCAGUGACCUGGUUAGAGCGGUGGGUACGGCCUGCAGGCAAUCAGCAGGACAGGGGGACGCUCUUUUCUCUCUUCUGCUUCUCCGACGGAAAGUGCUUCUGCACCAGCGACUGAAAAACACCCCUGAGGAGAGAAGACAAGGAGCCACGUCAUUUCCAGCUCUGCUACAGUACAAGCGUCUCUGGGUAUGUUCCCACUACAUUUCUAACGGAGAGUCCCUGCUCUGACGACGAGCCAGAAUCCCCCCUCAACCCCGUCCCCGUCCCAACCGUCUCCAUGGUGAACUCACUCCGCCGCCGAGACGAAUCUGUCCAGGUGCCCGUCGUUCUCGUCCAGGACCUCCCUGGUGCGCGCCUCCCCCGUGGACUGCAGCCCAAUCACGAUGCACUGGCGAGGAUGACAGCG